CCCUUAGAUGUUCUGGGCUGCACGCGUACUACAAUGGAACUCGCAUCGAGUCGCGAAACUGAGAAGUUAAGCGAAUCUUGGAAUGUGUUCCGUGACCGGGACAGUUGAUUGCAAUUAUUCAACUCGAACGAGGAAUUCCUUGUAAUCGUGAUUCAUCAUAUCGCGAUGAAUACGUCCCUGCCCUUUGUACACACCGCCCGUCGCUCCUACCGAUUGGGUGGUCCGGUGAAGCGUUCGGACCGUGGCCUUUGGACGGUUCGCCGUCUGUUGGCUGCGGGAAGUUCGUUAAACCUUAUCAUUUAGAGGAAGGAGAANUCGUAACA
rnacentral:rRNA from 1 species